rnacentral:rRNA from 1 species
AACGAACGCUGGCGGCAUGCCUAACACAUGCAAGUCGAACGAGACCUUCGGGUCUAGUGGCGCACGGGUGCGUAACGCGUGGGAACCUGCCCUUAGGUUCGGAAUAACUCCCCGAAAGGGGUGCUAAUACCGGAUAAUGUCUUCGGACCAAAGAUUUAUCGCCUUUGGAUGGGCCUGCGUUGGAUUAGCUAGUUGGUAGGGUAAAAGCCUACCAAGGCGACGAUCCAUAGCUGGUCUGAGAGGAUGAUCAGCCACACUGGGACUGAGACACGGCCCAGACUCCUAUGGGAGGCAGCAGUGGGGAAUAUUGGACAAUGGGCGAAAGCCUGAUCCAGCAAUGCCGCGUGAGUGAUGAAGGCCUUAGGGUUGUAAAGCUCUUUUACCCGGGAUGAUAAUGACAGUACCGGGAGAAUAAGCUCCGGCUAACUCCGUG